UAUUUAAAUUUAUGUUUAUUCUGAGAUUUAUUUCAGUAUCUAUCUCUAAAUCUCUGUUUCUCAGUCUCUAUCUUUCAGUCUCUAUCUCUCUACCAAAUAUAUCCUAUUUUUUGUUGGAAGUACAGGUACUAGAAUUUUUCUACCAAAUAUAUCCUUAUUUUGUUGGAAGUACAGGUACUAUAAUUUUUCAAUUUUUCAACAUAUGAAAACAAAUGCUACUUUACAUAUUAAAUGAAAAGUAUUAUAAAGCUAAUAUUUUUUAUAAAAAGAUCAAAAAUUAACAAAAAAGUCAAUAUUUUCUGGUAAAUAUAAUAGUGGCAAGUUCUCGGUUCCCCGGCUAUUGUCUUGGUUUCUAUUUUUAACAUUUUGUAUCUCUUAUUCUAUUUUUGUUUUGUUCUCUCUUUGGGAAUCCCUUCUUGUUUGGUCAUCACGACUAAUAAAUUACCAGUAGUGGAUGAAUGUUUCAUGUGUUCACUAUCCGUGUGCUUUGAAAACUUAAGAAAAUUCCAUUGGGACAAAAGAGAGUGUAUUACUAAUAAUAUGCAGCAAAACUUAAAUUUACCAACUUCCGAAGGACAAAAACGGAGAGCACAAGAGACGUAUGAAGGACGAAAAGCUUGUGCAUUUAGAGUAAAUUUUUUUCCCAAGACAAGCCUAAUCAUGGUUGAGCUAAUUUGGCCAAAAUAACUAGGUCUAAAAUCUUGACUUCCAAUGUGUCAUCUACCUUUACAAUACCAUCAGUACCAUCUACACCAAUCAAC